rnacentral:rRNA from 1 species
UACGUAGGGAGCGAGCGUUGUCCGAAGUUACUGGGCGUAAAGCGCGCGUAGGCGGGCCAUUAAGUGAGAGGUGAAAUUCCAGGGCUCAACCCCGGAACUGCCUCUCAUACUGUUGGUCUUGAGUGAGGUAGAGAGAAGUGGAAUGGCUGGUGUAGCGGUGAAAUGCGUAGAUAUCAGUCGGAACACCGAUGGCGAAGGCAGAUCUCUGGGCCGUAACUGACGCUGAGGAGCGAAAGCGUGGGGAGCGAACAGG